rnacentral:lncRNA from 1 species
CGAAGGUACCCCCCGUAGGAUCCGGUGGACAGGACUCAAACAGAUCCUGUGAAGCGAAGACAAUGAACCCCGGGGAGCUCUGCCCAAGUACCAGAUCCGGAAGCAACCCGAAGCGGCGGCGCAGCUUGCCGACGUCUGCACGCCGCACGCUGUCGUGACAUCAGCGCGUCUUGGCGCCGGGUAGUGGAGUGGUCACUUUGGGAAAGUCAGGCAGGAAUGACUUGUUUCUGUGAUGUCUGUGGCCUCAACUGGGAUGACUCGACCAGCUGGGGACUUGAAAAUCGGGCAUCUCUUUCUCUCUCAUCUUGUAGUCACAGUCUCUCCAUGUGGUCUCCCCAUACAGCCUCUUCAGCAUCACAAUCUCAGGAUGUCAAACUUGGCACAAUUUGACUCUGAUUUUUACCAAUCUAAUUUUACUAUUGAUAACCAGGAGCAGAGUGGUAAUGACUCUAAUGCCUAUGGAAAUCUUUAUGGAUCUAGAAAG